UACGUAGGGGGCUAGCGUUGUUCGGAAUCACUGGGCGUAAAGCGCACGUAGGCGGACUGUUAAGUCAGGGGUGAAAUCCUGGGGCUCAACCCCAGAACUGCCUUUGAUACUGGCGGUCUUGAGUGUGGGAGAGGUUGGUGGAACUCCGAGUGUAGAGGUGAAAUUCGUAGAUAUUCGGAAGAACACCAGUGGCGAAGGCGGCCAACUGGCCCAUUACUGACGCUGAGGUGCGAAAGCGUGGGGAGCAAACAGG
rnacentral:rRNA from 1 species